rnacentral:misc_RNA from 1 species
AAGUCGUAACAAGGUUUCCGUAGGUGAACCUGCGGAAGGAUCAUUAUCAACGUUUCCACGUUAUACCAACCGUGAACCUAUUCUUUGCCUCUGGCUGGUGUGGUGAGUGGGAAUGAGCAAAUGACUUCUGGCGUUGAAUGAAAAAGCAACUACUUUCGGGUGUUUGUUUUUUCAUCCAGGGACUCUCUUUAGUUGUGCAUUUGAAGAGUACCGUUCAGUUGUUGUUCGCUUGUUUUCCUCGAUUCAAUUCGUACCGCACUGGCUGGAGCGUAUGCUUCAAAUCCUGCACUUGAUUUUUUCAACCAUUUGAACAAAACCUCUGACUAUUGACUGAAAUGUAUUUCUUACUCUCACUUAAGUGUGGGAGACGAAAUCAACAAUUACGAAACAAAAAACAACUCUUAGCAACGGAUAUCUUGGUUCUC